rnacentral:lncRNA from 1 species
AUUUUACCAGUCAUAUUCUUGAUAAAGUCCGAAUGAUUUAUUUACAAACGUGACAGAGGACCGUACACCUAUUGAUUUAAGAAAAAAACCGAAAUCACUUGAAUUCCGAAACAGAUACGCGUAGUAGAUAAAAUACCGAACUCAAAGGAAAAUUCAAAACGAACAGUCCCUCGAUCAUCAAAUGGCGAAAUCAAAAGCUCAAACACAC